rnacentral:rRNA from 1 species
CGUGAGUAACCUGCCCUUAACUCUGGGAUAAGCCUGGGAAACUGGGUCUAAUACCGGAUAGGAGCGUCCACCGCAUGGUGGGUGUUGGAAAGAUUUAUCGGUUUUGGAUGGACUCGCGGCCUAUCAGCUUGUUGGUGAGGUAAUGGCUCACCAAGGCGACGACGGGUAGCCGGCCUGAGAGGGUGACCGGCCACACUGGGACUGAGACACGGCCCAGACUCCUACGGGAGGCAGCAGUGGGGAAUAUUGCACAAUGGGCGCAAGCCUGAUGCAGCGACGCCGCGUGAGGGAUGACGGCCUUCGGGUUGUAAACCUCUUUCAGUAGGGAAGAAGCGAAAGUGACGGUACCUGCAGAAGAAGCACCGGCUAACUACGUGCCAGCAGCCGCGGUAAUACGUAGGGUGCGAGCGUUAUCCGGAAUUAUUGGGCGUAAAGAGCUCGUAGGCGGUUUGUCGCGUCUGUCGUGAAAGUCCGGGGCUUAACCCCGGAUCUGCGGUGGGUACGGGCAGACUAGAGUGCAGUAGGGGAGACUGGAAUUCCUGGUGUAGCGGUGGAAUGCGCAGAUAUCAGGAGGAACACCGAUGGCGAAGGCAGGUCUCUGGGCUGUAACUGACGCUGAGGAGCGAAAGCAUGGGGAGCGAACAGGAUUAGAUACCCUGGUAGUCCAUGCCGUAAACGUUGGGCACUAGGUGUGGGGACCAUUCCACGGUUUCCGCGCCGCAGCUAACGCAUUAAGUGCCCCGCCUGGGGAGUACGGCCGCAAGGCUAAAACUCAAAGGAAUUGACGGGGGCCCGCACAAGCGGCGGAGCAUGCGGAUUAAUUCGAUGCAACGCGAAGAACCUUACCAAGGCUUGACAUGUUCUCGAUCGCCGUAGAGAUACGGUUUCCCCUUUGGGGCGGGUUCACAGGUGGUGCAUGGUUGUCGUCAGCUCGUGUCGUGAGAUGUUGGGUUAAGUCCCGCAACGAGCGCAACCCUCGUUCCAUGUUGCCAGCACGUAAUGGUGGGGACUCAUGGGAGACUGCCGGGGUCAACUCGGAGGAAGGUGAGGACGACGUCAAAUCAUCAUGCCCCUUAUGUCUUGGGCUUCACGCAUGCUACAAUGGCCGGUACAAUGGGUUGCGAUACUGUGAGGUGGAGCUAAUCCCAAAAAGCCGGUCUCAGUUCGGAUUGGGGUCUGCAACUCGACCCCAUGAAGUCGGAGUCGCUAGUAAUCGCAGAUCAGCAACGCUGCGGUGAAUACGUUCCCGGGCCUUGUACACACCGC